UUGAGAAGAAAACCCACAAAAAUCCAACUCAAAAUCGAAGACCGUGAAGAGCUUGAACAAUCCCGCAAAUCUCAACCAUCCACCACCACCACAACCACCGCUCCAUCCUCCUCCUCCUCUCUCCACCACCUCAUAGACCCAAAACACAAAAACCCUUCUUCCAAAUCCGACAGAAUCGGCCUCCCUUGAAACUCAAUUCCUCCAUGGAAGUCGAAGUCAAGCUCCGUCUCCUAACCGCCGCUGCUCAUCUCCGUCUCACCACUCUCCUCACUCCUUUCCACCUCAGAACCCUCCACCAACGCAACAUCUUCUUCGACACACCCAAAAACGAUCUCUCUCUCCGCCGCGCCGUCCUCCGUCUCCGUUUCCUCCAAAACGCCGCCGUUUCUGCGGCUUCUUCUUCUCCGCCGCGUUGUAUUGUCUCUCUUAAAGCGAAACCAACUCUAGCUAAUGGGAUUAGUCGUGUGGAAGAAGAUGAAGAGGAGAUUGAGUAUGGGAUUGGUAAAGAAUGUGUUGAUUCACCGGCUAAGCUCUCAGAUAUUGGAUCUAGGGUUUUGAAAAGGGUUAAAGAGGAAUAUGGGUUUAAAGACUUUCUAGGGUUUGUUUGUUUAGGUGGGUUUGAGAAUGUUAGGAAUGUUUAUGAGUGGAGAGGUGUGAAACUUGAGGUUGAUGAGACUAAGUAUGAUUUUGGGAACUGUUAUGAGAUUGAAUGUGAGACAGAGGAACCAGAGCGUGUUAAGACAAUGAUUGAGGAGUUUCUUACAGAGAACAAGAUUGAGUUUUUGAAUUCCGACAUGACAAAGUUUGCUGUUUUUCGGUCAGGAAAACUUCCUUGACAGGUUUGUUGGCUGGUCUGGAGGACAAAAGUUUUCACCUUGAUGUAGAGACUUGGGGUGAAUAUACUAUUCUGAUACCUUGAUAUAUACAUGUCAGAGACGCCUUAAUAGGUGGGAGAAAUGGUGGCUCUAACUAGAAGAGUGGUUUCUUGGUUCAUGGCUUUUGGUCAUCAGCAUUGGUCAAGUUAAUGUUGAUUGCAAGAAAGUGUACUACUAUUGAACUAGAUGAGCUCAGUUUGUACUGUUUCUUAAGGCCUUGUCGAUCUCUCUGACACUUGAAGGAUUUGGUUCCUGAGCCUUAGUAUUAUUUUGGAAUUGGUUUUCUGUAAAUUUUAUUUUUGCCAAAAAUUUUACAUC